rnacentral:rRNA from 1 species
UACGAAGGGGCUAGCGUUGCUCGGAAUCACUGGGCGUAAAGCGCACGUAGGCGGAUUGUUAAGUCAGGGGUGAAAUCCUGGAGCUCAACUCCAGAACUGCCUUUGAUACUGGCGAUCUCGAGUCCGGGAGAGGUGAGUGGAACUGCGAGUGUAGAGGUGAAAUUCGUAGAUAUUCGCAAGAACACCAGUGGCGAAGGCGGCUCACUGGCCCGAUACUGACGCUGAGGCACGAAAGCGUGGGGAGCAAACAGG